AGGAUGAACGCUGGCGGCGUGCUUAACACAUGCAAGUCACGGGGGUUUGAGGCGCAAGCCUUGGGCAACCGGCGAACGGGUGCGUAACACGUGAGCAACCUACCGAAAUGAGGGGGAUAGCCGGCCCAACGGCCGGGUAAUACCGCAUACGCUCGAAACCAGGCAUUUGGACUCGAGGAAACCUCCGGGGCAUUUCGAGGGGCUCGCGGCCUAUCAGCUAGUUGGUGAGGUAACGGCUCACCAAGGCGACGACGGGUAGCUGGU
rnacentral:rRNA from 1 species